ensembl:lncRNA
UGACAACGUAACUGGGACGUCGCAUGACCGUAAUUUUAUUACCAUUACAUUACCAACUCACAACGUCGUCAGUACGUCCUUCCAACCUGACCAGAUAACCAAGAACGUCCCAGAUAGGUUCUCUAUUCGUAAUAUAUUAACUUCAUGACUUACUGGCAACGUAACUACAACGUCGUAUGCACGUAUUUUCAUUGCCAUAAUUUUUGUACGUUCUUUAUAUGCUCUCUGAGUAUAGUGAUAUUUAAAAAGUGUAAUUAAACUUCAGACACAAGAUUAAACGUUCCUUAAAGAUAAAAUGUGUUUCUUUUCACCAAGUCAUGUAUGGACAUGUUUUUAAUAUAGUGACGUGACAUACAGCGCGCGCGCUUCCACAGCUGACACACCGCGCGCACAGUACUGACAAGAAAGGAAUAAGUUAUGAACUUGGAUAAGAGUUAUGAACAUGAAAUAAUGACACAGACUGACUACACAAUCUCAUCUGCCGCAGAUACUGACAGCGCGUUUGUUUGAGGCACUUUUCACUUCAUCUGUGUCUGACAGGAGAAUUAGCUUUUCUGAGCGGAGUCUUACAAUUUAUAAUAAAUAAAUAGGUUGAUAAAAUGUAUAAAACAAAGUAAAAACAAAGGUCUUGAACUCUGUAAAGGUGCUAAAACCCUUUUUUAAUAUUAUUGUUUUUAUUAGCCUACUAGCCGUUGAGAGUUACCAUGGCAACCGCGGACACGUCAGCUGCUCUGUUUCUCUUCAGUUAUACCAAAGAAAAGUUCAACAACUGCGACAAAUUGUUUGUUUAUUUCUAAUAAGGAGCUGGAGGCCGUGGAGCAGCAGAUCUACAACCUCGUUGAGAAGCAGGCUCAGCUGAGAGAGCGGAGAGCCGUGCUGGAAACAUUCCCGGGUUGAUGCUCACAAGUCCGGGGUAAGUAUACAGCACGCUGCUAACUCUCCCACCACCUCUACUCUGUGUGGUUCUCUGCACAGGCCCGGUGUACCCAGGAUGCGAUCUUUCCAGAUGUCCUUCAC